GACGAACUGCCCAAACGUUGUUCGGAAUCACUGGGCUUAAAGGGCGCGUAGGCGGCCGAUCAAGUCAGGGGUGAAAUCCGGCAGCUCAACUGUCGAAGUGCCUUUGAUACUGAUUUGCUCGAGGGAUAUAGGGGUCUGUGGAACUUCUGGUGGAGCGGUGAAAUGCGCAGAUAUCAGGAAGAACACCCGUGGCUAAGGCGGCUCUCUAGUACGGUACUGACGCUGAGACGCGAAAGCGUGGGGAGCGAACAGG
rnacentral:rRNA from 1 species